rnacentral:rRNA from 1 species
UGGGGAAUAUUGCACAAUGGGCGCAAGCCUGAUGCAGCCAUGCCGCGUGUGUGAAGAAGGCCUUCGGGUUGUAAAGCACUUUCAGCGGGGAGGAAGGCGAUAAGGUUAAUAACCUUGUCGAUUGACGUUACCCGCAGAAGAAGCACCGGCUAACUCCGUGCCAGCAGCCGCGGUAAUACGGAGGGUGCAAGCGUUAAUCGGAAUUACUGGGCGUAAAGCGCACGCAGGCGGUCUGUCAAGUCGGAUGUGAAAUCCCCGGGCUUAACCUGGGAACUGCAUUCGAAACUGGCAGGCUAGAGUCGUGUAGAGGGGGGUAGAAUUCCAGGUGUAGCGGUGAAAUGCGUAGAGAUCUGGAAGAAUACCGGUGGCGAAGGCGGCCCCCUGGACAAAGACUGACGCUCAAGUGCGAAAGCGUGGGGAGCAAACAGG